AUGAAUGGAUGUAAAAUUUGAUGCUGUUUGCAACCAGCAAUAGUGGUACCGAAAUUUGCUCCGGUAUGGUCUGAUAUCAAACACUGCAAACGCCAACCCCGUGCCAUACUGUAUUGUUUGCAAAUUCCGUUAUCGGGAAGUGAUCAAUACCGUACCAGACCAGGGGCAAGCCUAGUUGACCCAAUAGGCCAAAAAAAAGUACACGAUUAAACUUAGCAUUUUACGUUUUGGCCCCCUUCCUCUUAAAAUCCUAGUUCGGUCAUUGACUCAGUCAUUGACGUCUAUAAUUGACUAGAUGCAUUGUGGGAUGCACACUCGAUCACUGUAUGACCAUGAAUUAUUGAUGCAUGCAUUGACGGAUCCAUUAAAGGUCCAGUGA
rnacentral:lncRNA from 1 species